AGGUCGUCGCCGCUCCCGAGCGCCGCCUGCCCCUGCCCCAAGUCUGACGACCAGCUGCAUGCUGGCCUGCUCCCCCUAUUGGAUUUCAUCGAUGGAAAAUGCAAUACCCCCUCAACUUCACAUUCUUCUGCCCGAUAGAGAUCACUGCAUUCAGCAAUAGAUAAGAAGAGUUUGAGAAGAUAAAUACUGAAAUUCUCGGUGUUUCAAUUGAUAGUGUGGUACAGACGUUCUUCGACUUUGACCAUUCCGAGGGAUUGUUGCUGCUUGAAUCCUUCACGGCGAUUUAUUCAAUUAGCUGAUGUGUGAUCACGCUAAAGACAGAAGGGUUAUACUUGUGCGAGGAGGAUAAGGAUGUCAAAACCAUGAAAUAAACAACCUCAUGACUGAGGUUAGGAAUUUUCAGCCUUUUUGAGAGAAAUGGUGUAUAUGGCCAAAAGAUGCAGCCUGAUCUUCUCUUUUGCUGAAGAUCUUUUGUUGAAAGUCCUUGAGGUUUCAUCGAUUGUAACCUUAAAUGUUCAUGUAUAUUUUCUGGUAGUAAAUUUGUGAUUUUGUAGGGGCUCCCCCCCCCCCCCCCCCACCACACACACUUUAGCGUUUUCUGUUGCUCUGAAUCUGUGGCUAAAGUUCUCUUGUCGUAAUUUGUACUCAGAAUUUGUAGGAGCCUACAUUCCCUUUUUCAGAAUUUGAACUUUUUUUUAUGUUGUUUCUUGUGGUAGAAACCUCUACCACAGCCAAAUCACACCAUUAAGAGAUUUUAAUGUACUUUCUUUUAUACUGCUUAAGACAACUACUUUUUACUUGUUAGGGAGGGAUUAAGUGAUCUUGCCAUAAAUUUAACUGUUUGGAUUUUCUGAAGGGUCAUUUUAUGAACGUUGAUGCAAUGGGAAUAUUUUGCUUCACGCUUACCGGAUGAUUGUUAACUGAU